UACGGAGGGUGCAAGCGUUAUCCGGAUUCACUGGGUUUAAAGGGUGCGUAGGUGGGCUGGUAAGUCAGUGGUGAAAUCCCCGAGCUUAACUUGGGAACUGCCAUUGAUACUAUCAGUCUUGAAUACUGUGGAGGUCAACAGAAUAUGUCAUGUAGCGGUGAAAUGCUUAGAUAUGACAUAGCAUACCAAUUGCGAAGGCAGCUGGCUACACAAAUAUUGACACUGAGGCACGAAAGCGUGGGGAUCAAACAGG
rnacentral:rRNA from 1 species